rnacentral:lncRNA from 1 species
GGAUAGUUGUCUCAUUGUUUAUUCGUUUGUCCUUGGUGGAUAGUUGUCUCAUUGUUCAUUCGUUGGUCCCAGGUGGAUAGUUGUCUCAUUGUUUAUCCGUUGGUCCCUGGUGGAUAGUUGAGUUCAUUGUUUAUUCGUUGGUCCCUGGUUGAUAGUUGUCUCAUUGUUUAUUCGUUGGUCCCUGGUGGAUAGUUUUUCAUUGUUUAUCCGUUGGUCCCUGGUGGAUAGUUGUUUCAUUUGUUUAUUCGUUGGUCCCUUGUGGAUAGUUGUCUCAUUGUUUAUUCCGUUGGUCCCUGGUGGAUAGUUGUUAUUGUUUAUUCGUUGGUCCCGUCGUGUUGAUAGUUUCUCAUUGUUUAUUCGUGUCCCUGGUCCCUGGAUAGUUGUUUCAUUGUUUAUCCGUUGGUCUGGGAGUUGUUCAUUGUUUAUUCGUUGGACCCUGUGGAUAGUUGUUUUCAUUGUUUAUCCGUUGGUCCCUGGUGGAUAGUUGUUUCAUUGUUUUUUCGUUGGUCCCAGGUGGAUAGUUGUGUUCAUUGUUUAUUCGUUGGUCCCUGGUGGAUAGUUGUGUUCAUUGUUUAUUCGUUGGUCCCUGGUUGAUAGUUGUGUUCAUUGUUUAUUCGUUGGUCCCUGGUUGAUAGUUGUGUUCAUUGUUUAUUCGUUGGUCC